GCUACAUGUAUGGAGCUGGCGCUCGCUCUCAGCAGGUCCGAGGACUGAGGGCGGGUCUGACGACAGGACUGAGGACACUGAGGACAGCUCUGAGAACAGCUCUGAGACAGUUUUGAGGACUGAUGACAGGUCCAAGGACUCUGAGGACAGCUCUGUGGACAGAUCUGAUGACUGAAGACAGGACUGAGGACAGGUCUGAGGAAUGAGGGCGGGUCUCAGGAGAGGUCUGAGGACACUGAGGACAGCUCUGAGGACUGAAGACAGGUCUGAGGACUGAGGGCGGGUCUGAGGACUGAGGGAGGGUCUGAGGACAGGACUGAGGACACCUAGGACAGCUCUGAGAACAGCUCUGAGACAGUUUUGAGGACUGAUGACAGGUCCGAGGACUCUGAGGACAGCUCUGAGGACAGAUCUGAGGACUGAAGACAGGUAUGAGGACUGAGGGCGGGUUUGAGGAGAGGUCCGAGGACACUGAGGACAGCUCUGAGAACUGGUCUGAGGUCUGAGGACAGGACUGAGGACACUGAGGACAGCUCUGAGAACAGCUCAGACAGUUUUGAGGACUGAUGAGAGGUCCGAGGACUCUGAGGACAGCUCUGAGGACAGAUCUGAUGACUGAAGACAGGACUGAGUACAGGUCUGAGGACUGAGGGCGGGUCUGAGGACACUGAGGACAGCUCCGAGACAGUUUUGAGGACUGAUGACAGGUCUGAGGAAUGAGGGCGGGUCUCAGGAGAGGUCUGAGGACACUGAGGACAGCUCUGAGGACUGAAGACAGGUCUAAGGACUGAGGGCGGGUCUGAGGACUGAGGGAAGGUCUGAGGACAGGACUGAGGACAGGACUGAGGACACCUAGGACAGCUCUGAGAACUGAUCUGAGGACUGAGGACAGGACUGAAGACACUGAGGACAGGUCUGAGACCUGGUCUGAGGACUGAGGACAGGACUGAAGACAGGUCUAAGGACACUGAGGACAAAUCUAAGAACUGGUCUGGGGACUGAGGACAGGACUGAGGACAUAUCUGAGGACAUGUCUGAGGACAGGUCUGUGGACACUGAGGACAAAUCUAAGAACUGGUCUGAGGACUGAGGACAGGUCUGAGCACAAGUCCGAGGAUUGAGGAAGGACUGAGAAUAGGUCUGUGGACACUGAGGACAAAUCUAAGAACUGGUCUGAGGACUGAGGACAGGUCUGAGCACAAGUCCGAGGAUUGAGGAAGGACUGAGAAUAGGUCCGAGGACAUUGAGGACAGCUCUGAGAACUGGUCUGAGGACAGGACUGAGGAUACUGAGGACAGCUCUGAGAACAGCUCUGAGACAGUUUUGAGGACUAAGGACAGGUCCUAGGACUCUGAGGAAAGCUCUGAGGACAGAUGUGAUGACUGAAGACAGGACUGAGGACAGGACUGAGGACUGAGGGCGGGUCUGAGGACAGAUCUGAUGAGGACUGAGGGCGGGUCUGAGGACAGAUCUGAUGAGGACUGAGGGCGGGUCUGAGGACACUGAGGACAGCUCUGAGUACAGAUCUGAGGACUGAAGACAGGUCUUUCUUAGAAACCUGUUUCCUUUAUUAAUGUUUUAAUAAAUAAAACAUUCAGAAUGUAUUGAUUAAUGAGUGGACAAAGGUGUCCCAGGUGUGUUGAACGUGAAGCUGUAAAGAUGAACUCUUACGUGUUCUUAUGAAAAAACAAAACUGCCUUCAGCUUUAUUUCAUAGUAGGAGGCGGCUCGAAGCGUCCACAGCCAAAACCAAAGGAGAACGUUCUAGCAGUUUAAAGAACAUUUUCCAUUACAGUAUCGAGCACUCAGAACCAAAUUCAGGUCAGUUACGUAGAUACAGGAACAGAUCUGACCCCAGAUCCCUGUUUGUUCAAGUGUUCAUCUUUCUGAUCAAUUUGGUUUUAGUUUGUUACCUGAUGCUUUAAAAGGUCGUUUCUCUUCAUGAUUGACAGCUGAGUCCUGCUGUGAUUGGGUCAUGGGACCUUGAUGCUAGUAUCACUGUGGUUCUCAGGACCAUCAGCGGCGAGGACAAGCCACCUUAAGUCAGACCGGGACCUAGAGGUUGCUCUGAUGUGGUGGAUUUUAUACUCACUUCUUUUUGCCUGAUUUGAUUUAAACCUGCACUCGCUGAUAUUUUGAUUUGCAGAUGAAACAGGUUGUGAACACAGCGUCACCACUUCCUCCAAAAUUUCUCUGUGCAGUAUUAAAACUCAAACAUAUGUUAGUGACAGAAACAGCAAACACAAAUAUUUCUGCUACACAUUUCCAGUAAACGCUGUGUUUCACAUGUGCAUGUAUGUGUUGUGAUUAGAUCCAGAUAUUGAAUUUGCAUUAGUGUGAAUAUGUUUCUCAUUAUAACAACAUGAUCGAUGAUGUUCGUAAUCUUUCUCUUUCUAAUUAUAAUGUGAUGCUUUCUC